rnacentral:rRNA from 1 species
GCGCGAAAACUCCACAAUGUACGCCAGUACGAUGGGGUUAUCUCGAGUGUCGACUGAAAAAGCCGACUUUUCCAUAGAGUAAUAUCCUGUGGGAAUAAGAGGGGGGCAAGACUGGUGUCAGCCGCCGCGGUAACACCAGCCCCUCGAGUGGUGGGGACUAUUAUUUGGCCUAAAGCGUCCGUAGCCGGCUAAAGCCGUCACCCGUUAAAUCCAGCGUCUCAAGCGUUGGACUGCGGGUGAUACCCUUUAGCUUGAGGGUGGGACAGGUCAGCGGUAUUCCCGGGGUAGGGGCGAAAUCCUUUGAUCCCGGGAGGACCACCAGUGGCGAAGGCUGCUGACUAGAACACGCCUGACGGUCAGGGACGAAAGCUGGGGUAGCGAACCGG